UCCUUAUCACAUAUAUGUAAGCUUACAAAUCAUAAUCCUUACCUUGUACUGGCACAUCUAGCUCAACCCAACCCAUACUCAGAUCAUAAGGCUUUUGGGCAGAAUAUGUACUAAUACAUAAGAAUAUUUCAUCGCAUACUUUAUUAUACAAACAUACCAUUACCAAUUAGAUCAUUCUCACAUUUGGAGUUAUAAUAUUAAUCACAUUUACCUACCUCUUUGAUACUGAUAAUUCACCUCGAAAUCACUCCACCGAUGAGUAAGUAAUACGUACCUGAACAUCUUGAAUACAUAAUACUUAUUUGAUGGUAACUUAAUACAGAUACUCAAUAUCAAAGUCUUACUUGAAUCCUAGCAUUUAGCCGUCGGGUCUUUAAAGCUCGGAUAUAGUACGAGCACGAAGCCUACGGACAUUAAUCAGGAUAAUAUUCUCGCAUAAAGCUUGCGGGGUUUUAACCCGGAUAUAGUACUGACACAAUUGCCCUUCGGGACUUAUCACAUUUAUACACUUCCACAUCCAUCAUAUUGGCCAUUCGGCCUUAUCACAUAUAUACACUUUCACAUUCAUCACAUUGGCCAUUCCGCCUUAUCUUAUAUAUGCAUGUUCACAUUCAUCACAUUGGCCAUUCGGCCUUAUCACACAUACACAUGUUCACAUUCAUCACAUUGGCCAUUCGGCCUUAUCACACAUACUCAUGUUCACAUUCAUCACAUUGGCCAUUCGGCCUUAUCUCAUAUAUGCAUGUUCACAUUCAUCACAUUGGCCAUUCGGCCUUAUCACACAUACACAUGUUCACAUUCAUCACAUUGGCCAUUCGGCCUUAUCACAUAUAUAUAUACACUUUCACAUUCAUUACAUUGGCCAUUCGGCCUUACCACAUAUAUACACUUUCACAUUCAUCACAUCGGCCAUUAGGCCUUAUCACAUAUAUAUACACUUUCACAUUCAU
rnacentral:lncRNA from 1 species